rnacentral:rRNA from 1 species
UACGUAGGCAGCGAGCGUUGUUCGGAAUUACUGGGCGUAAAGAGUGUGUAGGCGGUGCUCCAAGUCUGGUGUGAAAUCUCCCGGCUUAACUGGGAGGGUGCAUUAGAAACUGGAAUGCUAGAGGAUGGGAGAGGUAAGCGGAAUUCCUGGUGUAGCGGUGAAAUGCGUUGAUAUCAGGAGGAACACCGGUGGUGUAGACGGCUUUCUGGACCGUAACUGACGCUGAGACACGAAAGCGUGGGUAGCAAACAGG